rnacentral:lncRNA from 10 species
GGACUCGCAUCGCAAGCGGGGGAGGCACGCCACGCGAGGCGGGGACUGAGAGCCAGCCCCCCUUCCCCCCGGGCUUAGGACCCCCAUCGCGGUUCCUAAGAUCCUUAGGACCCACCUGGAGGACUGUGGGUAUGGGGUGUCCAAGAAGAAAGCUCAGAUCUGCCCACGGCAGGGGUCCGAACGCAGCCCGGGAUCAGGAAGAAAGCAGGUCGUUUGCAAUCUACCGGAGCCUAAGGGCAGAAGGCAGGGGUCCGAAUGCAGCCCGGGAUCACAAAGAAAGCAGGUCGUUUGCAAUCUACCAGAGCCUAAGGGCAGAAGGCAGUCUUAGAAUCUCAAGUGACUCUGAC